ACAUUUCUAAGUGAGCCCAAAGUUUGGAAUGGUAGUGUAGAAGAACAGGAAACACUCUUCCCUGCAGGAAGGAAAAGAAAUGAGGGACAUCAACACAACUAUGGGAAGACAAGCGCUCAAGAGCCGAACAACUGAAAGAGAAGAGGAACAUUUUUCCAUGUUCGGGCUAAAGGACAGGCAACCGGAGAAGAUCAAGGCUCCACUUAAGGAUGUCAUCAGAUGAAAGGCUUAGUGUUACACCAGACACGUAUCAGCGGCUCCAUUCAAAGAGACCAGCUCUGAGUGGGACACAGGAAUCUCCAGGACGCGUGCUAAAAGGGAGUGUAAAUAAUUGGUCCUGGGUCAAGUUUAACUGAACCCACGUCGAUAAAGGUCAGUCACAUUGCCAUCACUCACCCCACCACACGUGUUGUUUACGAAGGCAUCUCGGAAACAAGUUAUUUUGAACCCAGCACCCCCUGACUGCGUUCCGAACGCGGCGGGGUCGACCUCUACUGCCCAGGUCAAAUCUUCGGGGGUAUUUUCAUUAGGACGCGCCACCGGAAGUGGCGAGGCUCUCCAUCAGCGUAAAAGGAGGGGCGUUCAGAGUUGUAAUUCCAAUGGAUUCAUGAAUGAUCGCAACUGA